UACGUAGGGUGCAAGCGUUGUCCGGAAUUAUUGGGCGUAAAGAGCUCGUAGGCGGUUUGUCGCGUCUGCUGUGAAAAUCCAGGGCUUAACCCUGGACCUGCAGUGGGUACGGGCAGACUAGAGUGCGGUAGGGGAGAUCGGAAUUCCUGGUGUAGCGGUGAAAUGCGCAGAUAUCAGGAGGAACACCGGUGGCGAAGGCGGAUCUCUGGGCCGUAACUGACGCUGAGGAGCGAAAGCCAGGGGAGCAAACGGG
rnacentral:rRNA from 1 species